rnacentral:rRNA from 1 species
UUCUGUAAGCCUGUGAAGGUGUGUCGUGAGGCAUGCUGGAGGUAUCAGAAGUGCGAAUGCUGACAUAAGUAACGAUAAAGCGGGUGAAAAGCCCGCUCGCCGGAAGACCAAGGGUUCCUGUCCAACGUUAAUCGGGGCAGGGUGAGUCGACCCCUAAGGCGAGGCCGAAAGGCGUAGUCGAUGGGAAACGGGUUAAUAUUCCCGUACUUGGUGUUACUGCGAAGGGGGGACGGAGAAGGCUAUGUUGGCCGGGCGACGGUUGUCCCGGUUUAAGCGUGUAGGUGUGUGUUCCAGGUAAAUCCGGUUCACUUUAACACUGAGGCGUGACGACGAGGCACUACGGUGCUGAAGCAACAAAUGCCCUGCUUCCAGGAAAAGCCUCUAAGCAUCAGGUAACAUCAAAUCGUACCCCAAACCGACACAGGUGGUCAGGUAGAGAAUACCAAGGCGCUUGAGAGAACUCGGGUGAAGGAACUAGGCAAAAUGGUGCCGUAACUUCGGGAGAAGGCACGCUGACACGUAGGUGAAGUGAUUUACUCAUGGAGCUGAAGUCAGUCGAAGAUACCAGCUGGCUGCAACUGUUUAUUAAAAACACAGCACUGUGCAAACACGAAAGUGGACGUAUACGGUGUGACGCCUGCCCGGUGCCGGAAGGUUAAUUGAUGGGGUCAGCGCAAGCGAAGCUCCUGAUCGAAGCCCCGGUAAACGGCGGCCGUAACUAUAACGGUCCUAAGGUAGCGAAAUUCCUUGUCGGGUAAGUUCCGACCUGCACGAAUGGCGUAAUGAUGGCCAGGCUGUCUCCACCCGAGACUCAGUGAAAUUGAACUCGCUGUGAAGAUGCAGUGUACCCGCGGCAAGACGGAAAGACCCCGUGAACCUUUACUAUAGCUUGACACUGAACAUUGAGCCUUGAUGUGUAGGAUAGGUGGGAGGCUUUGAAGUGUGGACGCCAGUCUGCAUGGAGCCGACCUUGAAAUACCACCCUUUAAUGUUUGAUGUUCUAACGUGGACCCGUUACCCGGGUUGCGGACAGUGUCUGGUGGGUAGUUUGACUGGGGCGGUCUCCUCCUAAAGAGUAACGGAGGAGCACGAAGGUUGGCUAAUCCUGGUCGGACAUCAGGAGGUUAGUGCAAUGGCAUAAGCCAGCUUGACUGCGAGCGUGACGGCGCGAGCAGGUGCGAAAGCAGGUCAUAGUGAUCCGGUGGUUCUGAAUGGAAGGGCCAUCGCUCAACGGAUAAAAGGUACUCCGGGGAUAACAGGCUGAUACCGCCCAAGAGUUCAUAUCGACGGCGGUGUUUGGCACCUCGAUGUCGGCUCAUCACAUCCUGGGGCUGAAGUAGGUCCCAAGGGUAUGGCUGUUCGCCAUUUAAAGUGGUACGCGAGCUGGGUUUAGAACGUCGUGAGACAGUUCGGUCCCUAUCUGCCGUGGGCGCUGGAGAACUGAGGGGGGCUGCUCCUAGUACGAGAGGACCGGAGUGGACGCAUCACUGGUGUUCGGGUUGUCAUGCCAAUGGCACUGCCCGGUAGCUAAAUGCGGAAGAGAUAAGUGCUGAAAGCAUCUAAGCACGAAACUUGCCCCGA